GUGACAGAGAAGGAAUGGCCCUUCAUAGUUGAGUGAAGAGUCAAGAGUCCUGCAAUUCUGGUCCCAACCACAGAAUGCCAUAUUCAAAGCUCUUCCAAUUUGUCAUGAAUGGCAUGAAAAAAUAACAGAGAUCUUAGAAACAGAGUUCAUUACCUCCCACAAUUUCAUCCCUUUAAUGUAUAGCUCUAGGUUGGUUUCAAAGCCAGGUGUUCGCAAG
rnacentral:misc_RNA from 1 species